rnacentral:lncRNA from 1 species
GGAUAGAGAACAAUGGUGUGAUCUCAGCUCACUGCAACCGCCACCACCAGGAUUCAAAUGAUUCUUGUGCCUCAGCCUCCAGAACAGAUGGGAUUGUAGACAUGUGCCUCCACUACCAGGAAUAGAUCUUGUUUGGAUCAUGUCCUCAUAUCCAAUGGGAAUGAAGAAAUUAAAGCAACCAGCCUGAGAUCCAUUUAUCUCUCAGUACUAGGGCGACAAGGGGAAGGGAAGAAGACAUUUGGUCUCAUUUGCUUGCAAACUUAAUAACUGGACAUUCUGAUAAGUAGUAUGAUGGUAUAUGCAAGAAAUUGUCCUUUUAUAUGGAAUACUUUUAGUCCUGAUUUAGAAUUAUUAUAAACAAAAGUAGAAUAUAUAGAUUUAUGAGAUAUGCAUAAUGUCACAUAAGCUAUGCUACCAUUUGAUGUAUAAAAUGGAGAUGUCUUAUAACUUAAAUAUUCCCUGUUGAUGUUCUGGUCUAGAGAUGUGUGCUUGAUAUGAAACAAGGGGCCUUGACACUGUCUUCACUGUUCUAGACAUUCUUCCUGCUUUUCCUCUGCCUCUUGAUUGCUUGUCUUCUUGAAAUUAUUAGUACACCCUGAUUUUGAAUAAGAUCGCUAAUUCAUUUGAGUCUGAUUUUACAAUAAUAUUUAUUAUGUUAGCUCAUCCAGGUUCAACCACUAGGAAUUUUGGCAGGAAUUUAGAGGAACCAAGUUAUUGUACAGUAGCAGUCAAAGUCUCAUGACAGUCUUAUCUACAUCUGUCUAAGGUACACAUUACAACCUAGACUUGCUUGCUUGCUUUUUUCCAUUUCAACAUUUUCCUUCCCUUCCUCUCU